UUUCACUUUUCUCUCUAUCUCUCUUGGUCUCUCUCUCUCUCUCUCUCUCUUUUUCUUGAUUUUUCCUCUUUUAGUUUUAUUUUCUUUUGUUAAUUUUAGUUUUAUUUAGGGAAUCAAGUGGAUAUAGCAAGGAGAUCAUUAAGGAAAACUUGAAGAAUACAUUGAAGGAAUUACAAUUCGUAUUUAAAAGGGUUUUAUCUCAACUUUUGUAUUCCUUUCAUUUAGUUCUUCAUGUUUGUAAUGAUAUGUUUAUGAGAAUCUUUUUAUUAUUUUGUUAGAAUGAUGAACUAAACAAGUUUAUGUUGGAAUUUAUGUAUUAGCUUAACCUAAUUUCAUU
rnacentral:lncRNA from 1 species